AAACUCCAAGAACCUGCUCUAUCUCUAGACCACCUCUCCUCCUUCAGCUCUUAGAUCGCUCGCUUCAGGCCCAAGCUCGAUGAGAUCUACUAGUUACAAGAUGAUAGAGCCCCAGCUAAGCUAUAUUGCCAAAAAAGCAUUUGAAGCAUUCAUGAUGGAUUGAAAUCAUGUAUCCUGGACAUGUUAACUUCUUUUUAGUUUGAAACAAGUGACAUGUCAUGUACAUAUUUUUGGUAUUUGUUAAGUUAUAUUUCUUAUAGAGAUUGUAAUAGCUCAUUGUUGAGCUUGUGAAAACAAUUCUUCACUAACCCCCUUUUUUUUUGAGGUAACUCGAACUUAAGUUUCAGACCAUUUGUUGAAUAAACAAAAAUUUUCAUGUUA